CUUCUCAGGUUAUAAAAAUUAUUAAUAUUACUGCUGUUAGUGAAAUAAAUGAGCCUACAGAGGAUAGUAUAUUUCAGAGAUUGGA